UAUUUUUAGUUUGAGAAAAAUACAGUCGUUCCAUGGCAUUGGCUGAGUUCUCCUUCACGUGGUGGUUUGGCUUGAAGUGAACUUUAAGCUUUACCCUAGGAGAUACCCUACGCACCUCUCCGUUCAAGGUAAGAAUAUAAUGGAGUUUACCGUGCCCCUUUAAUAGGCUGGUCUACGGAACCCCCUCUGCAGUGAAUAAUUAAUAUAUACUCCACCAAUCAAUAAAAUUCAUUCUAGCAUGACAUGGCAAUUUAUCGCAACCUAGCCUCUCAAGGCUGAAUACUCAGUACAAAUAAUUCUAACGCCAAAAUCAGUUUAGCC
rnacentral:lncRNA from 1 species